GGACUACUAGGGUAUCUAAUCCCUUUCGCUCCCCUAGCUUUCGUCCCUCAGCGUCAGUUGUGGCCCAGUAGAGCGCCUUCGCCACUGGUGUUCUUCCCGAUAUCUACGCAUUUCACCGCUACACCGGGAAUUCCCUCUACCCCUACCACACUCAAGCUCUCCAGUUUCCAUUGCCGAUCCACAGUUGAGCUGUGGGCUUUGACAACAGACUUAAAAAGCCGCCUGCGGACGCUUUACGCCCAAUAAUUCCGGAUAACGCUUGCCUCCUCCGUCUUACCGCGGCGGCUGGCAC
rnacentral:misc_RNA from 1 species